UGACAGAUGCAUAUUCUGUGCCCUUUUCGCCU
rnacentral:piRNA from 1 species